rnacentral:rRNA from 1 species
UACAGAGGUCUCAAGCGUUGUUCGGAUUCAUUGGGCGUAAAGGGUGCGUAGGUGGCGCCGUAAGUCGGGUGUGAAAUUUCGGAGCUUAACUCCGAAACUGCAUUCGAUACUGCGGUGCUUGAGGACUGGAGAGGAGACUGGAAUUCAUGGUGUAGCAGUGAAAUGCGCGAGAUCAUGAGGAAGACCAGUGGCGAAGGCGGGUCUCUGGACAGUUCCUGACACUGAGACACGAAGGCCAGGGGAGCAAACGGG